rnacentral:rRNA from 1 species
GUUCUCUCCGAAAUAUAUUUAGGUAUAGCGUUGUGUCGUAAUAUAAGGGGGUAGAGCACUGAAUGGGCUAGGGCAUACACCAAUGUACCAAACCCUAUCAAACUCCGAAUACCUUAUAUGUAAUCACAGCAGUCAGGCGGCGAGUGAUAAAAUCCGUCGUCAAGAGGGAAACAACCCAGACUACCAGCUAAGGUCCCUAAAUCUUACUUAAGUGGAAAACGAUGUGAAGUUACUUAAACAACCAGGAGGUUGGCUUAGAAGCAGCCAUCCUUUAAAGAAAGCGUAAUAGCUCACUGGUCUAGUGAUUUUGCGCGGAAAAUAUAACGGGGCUAAAGUAAGUACCGAAGCUGUAGACUUAGUUUACUAAGUGGUAGGAGAGCGUUCUAUUUGCGUCGAAGGUAUACCGGUAAGGAGUGCUGGAGCGAAUAGAAGUGAGCAUGCAGGCAUGAGUAGCGAUAAUUAAUGUGAGAAUCAUUAACGCCGUAAACCCAAGGUUUCCUACGCGAUGCUCGUCAUCGUAGGGUUAGUCGGGUCCUAAGUCGAGUCCGAAAGGGGUAGACGAUGGCAAAUUGGUUAAUAUUCCAAUACCAACAUUAGUGUGCGAUGGAAGGACGCUUAGGGCUAAGGGGGCUAGCGGAUGGAAGUGCUAGUCUAAGGUCGUAGGAGGUUAUACAGGCAAAUCCGUAUAACAAUACUCCGAGAACUGAAAGGCUUUUUGAAGUCUUCGGAUGGAUAGAAGAACCCCUGAUGCCGUCGAGCCAAGAAAAGUUUCUAAGUUUAGCUAAUGUUGCCCGUACCGUAAACCGACACAGGUGGGUGGGAUGAGUAUUCUAAGGCGCGUGGAAGAACUCUCUUUAAGGAACUCUGCAAAAUAGCACCGUAUCUUCGGUAUAAGGUGUGGUUAGCUUUGUAUUAGGAUUUACUCCGAAAGCAAGGAAACUUACAACAAAGAGUCCCUCCCGACUGUUUACCAAAAACACAGCACUCUGCUAACUCGUAAGAGGAUGUAUAGGGUGUGACGCCUGCCCGGUGCUCGAAGGUUAAUUGAUGGGGUUAGCAUUAGCGAAGCUCUUGAUCGAAGCCCGAGUAAACGGCGGCCGUAACUAUAACGGUCCUAAGGUAGCGAAAUUCCUUGUCGGUUAAAUACCGACCUGCAUGAAUGGCGUAACGAGAUGGGAGCUGUCUCAAAGAGGGAUCCAGUGAAAUUGUAGUGGAGGUGAAAAUUCCUCCUACCCGCGGCAAGACGGAAAGACCCCGUGGACCUUUACUACAGCUUGACACUGCUACUUGGAUAAGAAUGUGCAGGAUAGGUGGGAGGCUUUGAGUAUAUGACGCCAGUUGUAUAUGAGCCAUUGUUGAGAUACCACUCUUUCUUAUUUGGGUAGCUAACCAGCUUGAGUUAUCCUCAAGUGGGACAAUGUCUGGUGGGUAGUUUGACUGGGGCGGUCGCCUCCCAAAUAAUAACGGAGGCUUACAAAGGUUGGCUCAGAACGGUUGGAAAUCGUUCGUAGAGUAUAAAGGUAUAAGCCAGCUUAACUGCAAGACAUACAAGUCAAGCAGAGACGAAAGUCGGUCUUAGUGAUCCGGUGGUUCUGUGUGGAAGGGCCAUCGCUCAAAGGAUAAAAGGUACCCCGGGGAUAACAGGCUGAUCUCCCCCAAGAGCUCACAUCGACGGGGAGGUUUGGCACCUCGAUGUCGGCUCAUCGCAUCCUGGGGCUGGAGCAGGUCCCAAGGGUAUGGCUGUUCGCCAUUUAAAGCGGUACGCGAGCUGGGUUCAGAACGUCGUGAGACAGUUCGGUCCCUAUCUGCCGUGGGCGUAAGAAGAUUGAAGAGAUUUGACCCUAGUACGAGAGGACCGGGUUGAACAAACCACUGGUGUAGCUGUUGUUCUGCCAAGAGCAUCGCAGCGUAGCUAAGUUUGGAAAGGAUAAACGCUGAAAGCAUCUAAGCGUGAAGCCAACUCUAAGAUGAAUCUUCUCUAAGCUCUCUAGAAGACUACUAGUUUGAUAGGCUGGGUGUGUAAUGGAUGAAAGUCCUUUAGCUGACCAGUACUAAUAGAGCGUUUGGCUUAUCUUUAAUAAAGCAU